AGUGAACGUUGGCGGCGUGGAUUAGGCAUGCGAGUCGAGCGAGAACCGUAGCAAUACGGGGACAGCGGCGAAAGGGACAGUAAUAUGUAGGUACCUACCCUCGGGUCCGGGAUAGCUGCGGGAAACUGCAGGUAAUACCUGAUGACAUCUCCGGAUCAAAGGUGUGAUUCCGCCCGGGGAGGGGCCUGCAUCCUAUUAGCGUGUUGGUGGGGUAACGGCCUACCAAGGCGACGAUGGGUAGCGGGUGUGAGAGCAUGACCCGCGUCAUUGGGACUGAGACACUGCCCAGACACCUACGGGUGGCUGCAGUCGAGAAUCUUCGGCAAUGGGGGCAACCCUGACCGAGCGACGCCGCGUGCGGGAUGAAGGCCUUCGGGUUGUAAACCGCUGUCGUAGAGGAGGAAAUGCAGGGGGGUUCUCCCCUCUGUUUGACCUAUUCUAGGAGGAAGGACGGGCUAAGUUCGUGCCAGCAGCCGCGGUAA
rnacentral:rRNA from 1 species